rnacentral:rRNA from 1 species
CGCUGGCGGCGUGCCUAACACAUGCAAGUCGAACGGAGUUAACCGCUGAAAAGACGCUAGCUUGCUAGAGAAUUCUUGGUUAACUUAGUGGCGGACGGGUGAGUAACGCGUGAGUAACCUGCCUUUCAGAGGGGGGACAACAGUUGGAAACGACUGCUAAUACCGCAUAACGCAUAUUGAUCGCAUGGUCGAUAUGCCAAAGAUUUAUCGCUGAAAGAUGGCCUCGCGUCUGAUUAGCUAGUUGGUGAGGUAACGGCCCACCAAGGCGACGAUCAGUAGCCGGACUGAGAGGUUGACCGGCCACAUUGGGACUGAGAUACGGCCCAGACUCCUACGGGAGGCAGCAGUGGGGAAUAUUGGGCAAUGGGCGCAAGCCUGACCCAGCAACGCCGCGUGAAGGAAGAAGGCUUUCGGGUUGUAAACUUCUUUUGUCAGGGAAGAGUAGAAGACUGUACCUGGCGAAUAAGCCACGGCUAACUACGUG